rnacentral:rRNA from 1 species
CAACCUUUGACAUGUCCUCUAUGGGUUUAGGAGACUAGACCCUUCACUUCGGGUGGGAGGAACACAGGUGCUGCAUGGCUGUCGUCAGCUCGUGCCGUGAGAUGUUGGGUUAAGUCCCGCAACGAGCGCAACCCUCAUCUUCAGUUGCCACCAGGUAAGGCUGGGCACUCUGAAGAAACCGCCGGUGACAAGCCGGAGGAAGGCGGGGAUGACGUCAAGUCCUCAUGGCCCUUACAGGUUGGGCUACACACGUACUACAAUGGUGGUGACAGUGGGUUGCGAAGUCGCGAGACGGAGCCAAUCCCCAAAAACCAUCUCAGUUCAGAUUGCACUCUGCAACUCGGGUGCAUGAAGUUGGAAUCGCUAGUAAUCGCAGAUCAGCACGCUGCGGUGAAUA